rnacentral:lncRNA from 1 species
UACAACAAUUACAUGAAACAUAAAUACAGCAUAACAUGAAGAGGAUGACAUGAGCUUGAGUUGCUUAGUGAUUCUUCAAGUCAUUCUUCGCCAUUUGCACUUGGGUUCCUUAAGCUUUACUGCCACCUGCACAUAGAUCCAAUCACAAGUCGUGUAGAUCAACUGAAACAGAGCAAUCCCGAUGCCAUGUCUCAGAUGUUAUCUUUAAACAAUAACCUUAUUUCUGGACAACACCAAAUGGUCAUUCAUGAAUCAAA